rnacentral:tRNA from 1 species
AGGGGUAGAGCUCAGCGGUAGAGCGUGUGCUUAGCAUGCAUGAGGUCCUGGGUUCAAUCCCCAGCACCUCCA